rnacentral:rRNA from 1 species
GUACACGCUGUGACUAGCAUAUCAAUAAGCGGAGGAAAAGAAACUAACUAGGAUUCCCCUAGUAACGGCGAGUGAAGCGGGAAGAGCUCAAAUUUGAAAUCUUAAAGGGUUUCCCUUUACGAAUUGUAGUUUAAAGAAGUGUUUUCUGUUGAGGUCUUGGUAAAAGUUCUUUGGAAUAGGACAUCAUAGAGGGUGAGAAUCCCGUAUUUGACCUUUACUUUCAACUUUGUGAUACACUUUCAAAGAGUCGGAUUGUUUGGGAAUGCAGUCCAAAAUGGGUGGUUAAAUUUCAUCUAAAGCUAAAUAUUGGCGAGAGACCGAUAGCGAACAAGUACCGUGAGGGAAAGAUGAAAAGAACUUUGAAAAGAGAGUUAAACAGUACGUGAAAUUGUCAAAAGGGAAGCGUUUGACACCAGUGUUGUUUUUCUGAAAAUCAAUUAAAGAACUGUUUAUGCUAAGUUGUUUAGACUUUAUCAGCUAACUGUUUAGUUUUGAGCUUUUCUUUAAUGCACUUUUCAGUUAACAAGUCAACAUCAAUUUCUUUUGCUGUAAAAAAGCUUGAGGAAGGUGGCUUGAGACUCGUCUUAAGUGUUUAUAGCCUCUUGCCUAUGCAGUCGGAGAGAUUGAGGUCUGCAGCGUAGAUCCUUCGGGGCUAAAUGCAUUUGUGCUAAGUUAUAGCAUUUUAUAGACAACUUGUUGACUAUGAUUUGUCUUGUAGCUUACUCGCUUAUGUUAUUUUACCUACGCUUAGGAUGUUGAAGUCAUCGUAUCGCGC